rnacentral:lncRNA from 1 species
CCGGGAUGAGAAGGAGCAUCUUCGAUGACAUGAGGGAGAUCAAAGUUGAUGCCUUUAAGAUUAGGGUACUUAGAGACAAUCAUUUUGAGAGUAGCACCAAUGCCACCCCCGACAUCAACCAAGGAGACCAAACCCUCAAAACCAUUAUAGGUCUCAAGAAUCUUCUUCAUGGUGAUGGUGGAAUGGUUAGACAUUCCAUUGUUGAAAACCUUGUUGAAUCUAAGGUCAGUCCCAUGGUACUCAAACGCGCUCAUGCCAUAAGCUUUAUUGAAUGGAAUCCCACCAUCAAGAAUUGCAUCCUUCAAAUAGUACCUGCAACAAAACUCUUUGGCAUGAGUUUAACAAAACAAACAAACAAUCUCUCCUUUAGCUUAACUAACCCAUCAGCAUUUUUCUUAAAAGAUCAAUUAAGUCUUUAUCACUAAUUAUAAAUCUGUUCUGAAAUUGUAUGACACAAUUUGUAUUUAUAUUAUAACUUAUUGAAAACUAUCAAAUAUAUAUUAUAUUGUUGAGACAUAGUGUUUUCUAAUCCCCUAUAUACAGUAGAAUCUCUAUAAAUUAAUACUCGAUAAAUUAAUAAUCUCUAUAAAUUAAUAAAUUUUCUCGGUCUCAACUUGAGUCUAUUCAAAAUUUGACACAAAUCGAUAAAAUAAUAAGAUAAUAAUUUUUUUUAGAAAAAUUUAUGCAAAUAUAUGAUCCCAUUAAAAUCAUAAAAUAAUAAUUUAUAUGUAUGCAUAUUAUAUAUAAAUAAGUACAUAUUAUUAUAAUGUUUUUUAUAAUCACAAUGGAAUUAUCUUUAUAUUUUCUUAACACUUAAUAUUUUUGAUGAGAUUUAGUAAUAUUAUAUUUAAAACCACAUUUAAGUUCUAUGAAAUAUAUAUUAUAUAUACACCAAAUAAUAUAAUAUAAUUAAUAUAAAUGUCAAUUUCAGAAAAUGACGAUUAAUGUCUAUACACUAAAAUCAAAUAUUUUUCUUAUCUAAGAAAUCUAAAUAAUGAAAAUUUUAUAAAUUAAUAUCUCUAUAAAUUAAUAAAAUUUGAAAUUCCCAACAUUAUUAUAUACACCAAAUAAUAUAAUAAAAUUAAUAAAAAUGUCAAAUUUCAGAAAAUAACGAUUAAUAUCUAUACACUAAAAUCAAAUAUUUUUGUUAUCUUAGAAUAAAUAUAUCUUAAAAUACGAAAUUUAAAUAAUGAAAAUUUUGUAAAUUAAUAUCUUUAUAAAUUAAUAAAAUUUCAAAAGUCCCAAUAUUAUUAAUUAUAGAGGUUCUACUAUAUAUUAUUUGAGGAUCAUUUAAAAAGAUGUAACUUUCUAUUUUGCAUUAAUUACAUUUUAAUUUUACUGAGUUGUCAACAUUUUCUUUUAAAUCACUAUAUUUGAUUAAGUGGCAGUCUUACAACUAAUUUGGACAAACUUAGACCAACUUUUUAUUCUCUAGAAAAAUUUAUUAAUCAGACAUAUAGUAAAUUCACAACUAUCUUUAUGCCUAUCAGUUAAUUAACUACACAUAUAAAUAUAACCUUAGACGAACAAUUUUUUUUGACAACAUUAAAAAGUAUUCUUACACAACUUAUAUGACCCACUGCCAUAUCCCUUAUACAAAUUAAACAUAAUAAUAAUUGUCUGCAUUGUUUUGUUAAGAUAGUUAUACGUUGUUAUGCUCAAAACAUAUUUGUUUCAACUGUUUUAUUAUUCUGUACUGUCAUUUACAGAAUAAUAUUUCGUUGGUUUUGAAUUGUAUGUGGGGGCAUGUCCAAAACAUCUAUGUAGGAUGAUGGUGCAACGCCACAUGUAGUUGGUUAAUCCAUUUUAGUUGGAGUAUUCAACUAUAUUUUAUACCGGACCAGAUCAAAACAAUGAUCCGUCGACUGAUUAGAAGUCAAUUAAUUUUUUUAUUAGCUUAGAGAGAAAAUGUACACCAAAUACUAAAUCAAUACACGUUAUAUACAAGUUGACUUCAAAUCUGUAUUUGGCAAUAUACAACUCAUUUGUGUUAAAUAAAAAAUAUCUUUCUUACUAUUUUUUGUUUCAAAGUAUAUAUGAUUCAAAAGAUAUAUCGUCAUAAAUAUAUCCUAACAAAUAGGAAAAAUCAAUAUAUUUAUGGAAAAUAUGAAAGUAUAUAUUCCAAAAAAAUUAUUCUUUGAAGAAAUUAUAUCAAACAUUAUAUAUUAUGCUCGGUUAUUACUUUGAAAGAUGGGAUCUAUUUUUAAAAAUUAUUUUAGGUUUAAUUAUAAAAUAAAAAAAACUUUGAUUAUAUUAAAUACAAGUUAGUACAACAAACACUUUCGCAAACUAUAUAUGUAUGAUCUAGUCUUUGAACUAAGGGUGGUCAAUCCAGUAAAACUGAACCGAAAUAGAAAAAGUGAUUUAGAUUUGAUAAUGCUGUAUAAAUCGAACAUAUGUUAUUUUUAAAAACCGUGGUAAAUGAAUAUGAUUCAGUAUAUAUAUUAAUCUAACCAAAUAAAAAGAUUAAAAUAUAGUAAUAUAGUUAUACAUAGUUCAUUUUUUAGGUAUGAUUUUAAUAUUUAAAACGUUAAUUUGAAUAAUUUUUUAUUUUAACUAAAGACUUUCAUUGACAUACAUUUUUGCUAAAUUUUAGUUAUUUAUAUUAUUAAUCUUUUUGUUUUCAUCUCAUGAAAUUAUAAUAUUAUAAUUUAUUUGUUAGUUAUUUUGAAUAUUUAAAUAAAAUAGAAACAUCAUAUUUAAAAAUUAGAGUACUUUUUAAUAAAUUCAAAUUUUAAUCAUGCAAAAUUAAAAUGAAAACAUAUUAUAAAAUAUAAAUAUAGUUUAAGUUUUUGGUAUAAAAAAGACUGACUGUAUAUAGCCCGAACCAAACCAAAAUAUAUAUGGUUUUAAUAUGGUAUCUAAUUCUUAUAAACCGAAAUACCACAAAACUGAACUGAAACCGGAUCGAAAUCUGUAUUGAACAACCUUACCUGACAUAUAUAAUUUUUACACUCGUCUCAAUAUACGCAAAGCGUGGAUAUCAACCCGGUAAAUUAGUAUUUAACUAAAUAAUCGGUUAUUAGUUUUCCCCCGGUAAAAAAAGCAGCAUUAGUUUUCUCAAUAUAAUUCUUAAACUUAAAUAGUAUUACUUUCGGAUUUGUAACUCUUUGAACAGAGUUAGAUAAAUUAUUUACAACGGAGGGAAUAACCAUUGUGUUUUCUUUAUACAACGUAAACUGAUCUUGAUUGUGGCCACACGUAAUAUUAGAUCGAUAAAUGGACGCUCUAAAAGCAAGUGAUGGUAUGGCCAUCUUAUUGAUGACCAAUCCAACAUAGUACCCCGUACUUUGAAUUUAUGCCUUUUUAUCUAUUUUUAUUUAUAUAUUAUUUUUCCUAUAAUUUAUUGUAAAAUUAUUUUGUUCUCCAGUCUGUUUAAUCGUUGUAACAAAUGAUAUGACCCGGUAUAAUUUUGGUGCAGUGACAAAUUAAGGUCUUUGCACUGUGUGGAUCUCACUUAUGUAUAUUAUUAUUAAGUACAUCAACCAAGAAGCAUAACUUAUAAAAAUUAUAUAUAUUAUGUCGUAUUAUAUGUUUAGCAUAAUAAGAUAUAUCAACAGAACUGAUAUGAUAAUUUUCGGUGUGGCUUCGUAAAUACUUACCAGCUUCCCAUGAAGACCUUGUCAUGAUUCAGGAGACAAAGAGCAGCUAUCGAGACACCAUCUUCGUUCUUGGUGAAAUAUUUGCAAACUGGACCAAGCCCGCAAAGCCGGUCGGCGCCGUCGGGAAGUGUACGGACGGAGCAAGUGAGGACGGAGUAAGCCGUAAGAAGACGGAGGAUACGGUCAAGCAUGACCGGAGCUUCGGGGUUUUUGGUCGGAAGAUGAGAAGAGAUCUCAGAUGCAGACAUGGGAGAACAGUUCCUGGCCAUGAUCUCUAGAAGAUCGAGCUCUAUAACUGAUUUUAAAGCCAUAGGGAGAACAGAGGCACUGGCUAACUGUAUGGCAAAGAGAGCAGUUUCGUCGUCGGUGACUUGCACUGGAGUUGACUGUGUCUGUGCCGUUGAGCCCAUUUUCGUGAAAUUUCUGAGAUUUUAGAAUGCUUUGUUUUUGGGUUUCGAUGUGUGAUAUGUUAGAAGUGGUCUAUUAUAUAGGAAAUAUGCAUGGGUUUAGGUUUCGCAACAUGCCGUGCUGUAACGUAUGUCCAGUCCACCGCUAGAUGUCUAAUCUCUCGUAUAUUUUAUAUCUGUAACGUAUUAUUGAUUUUAUACUUUAAGUUUGUACGGAUUUAUUUUUAGGCCAGUUGCUUAUCAAACAAACUCAUAUUAUAUAGAGUUAGACUAAAUAUUUAUGUUAGAUUUUUUUCGUCUAAUAUCUGAUUCGAGACUUGGAUUGUCUAUAUAUCAUAUCAAUUCUCCUCUCAAACAAAUGACCACUUAGCAUUAACUUGCUGUGAUAAACUAUAUGCUUUCAUAGGCCAAACGAUCUACUAGAAUUAGGUAUCUAUCACCACUAGAUAUCAAACCAUUUGUUUAUUAUGAUAUCUGUCCGCUUUAGAUCUAAAUCCUCGUAAUUUUAUUUUUGGAUCGUUUUAUCAGGAAGAUUACACUAAGUGAUACUAGAGAGAAUAUAUAUAUAUAUAUAUAUAUAUAUAUAUAUAUAUACACACUUUAUGGUCUAGUAUCGAUGCGAGAUCUGGAUUGUAUAUUUAUUAUAACAAUCCUCCUCGUAAACAAAGGAUCACAAAAUAUUUUCCUCAUACCAAUUUUUUUGUAACAUACCAAAUUUCUUUUAAGCCAAACGUUUUUUUUUGCAACACUUUUUUAUUUGGAAAAUGGCCCAACGCUCUCCUAAAACUAAAUAUUCAUCAUCAGAUAUUCAAUUUCUCACAUAAUAUGAUAUUUGUUCGUUUUUUUUAUGAUAUAUGAUAUUUGUUCGUUUAAAGCCUAAAGUUUCACUGAUUUGUUUGUGAAUUGAUUGCUUCUCAAAAACCUCAUACUAAAUGGAGCUAGACCAAACUUUUUAAGUGGAACAGUACAUAUCUGCAUUUUAAAACAUAUCCAAAAUAAUCCAAUAAAAACAACAUAAAAUUUUUAUUUGUAAAAUUUAGUCGAUAUAUAUACACUUAAAUCAAUUCAUCUUCUUAUUUUUACAUCAAUAUAUAUACUUCAAAAUAUAUAAAUUUUUGAAAAUAAUCUCUUAAAUAAUUUAAUAUUAUAAUUUUAUAAUCAUUAAUUUAUAGAAUUUUUACUAUAGUUUACCAUAUUUUUUGUCACUAAAUAUAGUUUACCAUAAAACGUUAUUUUACCACCGUUUUUCGCUAGCAAAGAUGUUUUCUUUUAUCUUUGGUUGAUCCAAGCCAUCACCAAUAUAGAAUGCAAAUCAUGGAACUUUUCUGUAUCCUCCAAGAUAUCUAUGAGCUUGCACGAUGCUUUACCUAUUUCUCGUUUAGUUUAUCUAUGAGCGUUCAUUUAUCGCAGUGUAACUCUAUCCUUCUAAUAUAUGUUAAUUUGUGUUCAAAAAAAUGUUUAUCUUCUGGUAUUAAGGCUUGUUUUUUGGGUCUAAAUGUUAAAAUUAUUAAGGCUUGUUGUUCCUCAUUUCCCAAGUUUAUUACUCUUUCAAACUGUAUACAUUUAAGCGUAGGCUGUUAAAAACUUAUUGUGGUUAUCUUUUACACAAAUAAAUUCGCGGUUUCACUCAUAUUAACAUAAAAUAACAGCCAUUGACCACAAAGAAUAAUAGUGGUUAUAAAUUCUACAAGUAUAAAAAUGUCAAAUUAGAUAAAUUUUCAAAAGCAAACCAACAAUUUGAUUCUUAUGGCAACAAAAACACAUACAAAUAAUUAGACUAUAUAUGUAAAAGAAAUAUCUUUAACCAUUUCUCUCGGUGACAGAGACAACCAAAGUACAAAGACAAUGACGCACUCGUUACUCGAUCAAAUAGAGUCCACACGUCCUACCUAAGAGCACCCUCGACCCAAAUACCCAACUUGGGUUUCUUAUUUUUUUUUAUUUUUUUUUAUUUUUAUUUUUUUUUGCUGAUUUAAAAAAAAAAUAAAUUAAAAAUAAACUAAUCGCGGACCGCCACGUAUCAGUGGAGCCCGCGAAACAGUACAAAAAACGUCCCUUAUUUCGCGACAGAAGACACGGUCUCCCCCUUUUUGGUGGGGCCCACACCACCUUUUCUCCUUAAAAACCCACCUUGCACCCCCCUUUAAUCAUGUUUUAACACCUUUACGUCAUAAUAGUGAUAAAAAACUUUCACUAGCAAUGAAUGAAAAAAUAAAACAAAUAUCUAUUUUGUUUAUUUUUAUAAAUUCUAAAGAACUUUCACGUUCAUUUAGAAAUAAAGGCUGGGCACAGCCCAACCACUCACUAACUUUUAGAGGCUAAUACUUGACUUGGCCAAUUCAGAUAAUGUCAUUUGAGAUUUAAACUUGACUUGUUAAAGUACUUGAUAUAUAUCAAAUAUGCGAGAAAAAUUAAUAUUUACAAAUUACUGAUCCAGUUUAUUACUUGAUAAAACUAAAUAUUUGUUUCUAGAUUACCUAUUACAGUAAAAACUUUAUAUUAAUGAUAUUGCGACUAUGAUAGUUUAUUAAUUUAGGGAAAAUUAUAUAUUUUUAUAUUUCUAUUUUAAAAUAUUUUUUAUUUAAAAAUAAAAUUAUUUCAAGAUAUCAUUUAAAUUUUAUAGAUUUAUAUUUCAUCAUUUUUUCAGAUUAUUUGAUAUUUUAUGUAUGUUGAAUAUGUAUACAUGAAUUUUAUAAGAAAUUCAAGAAAAUAACACAAAAUAUAAAAAUGAAAAAUAAAAUUAGACAUAAAUGCAUUUUGAAGAAAAAUAAACAAUGAGAUAUUUUUCUUAUGUUUAUAUAAAAUUUAUAUAUAUAAUUAUUAUUAAUUUAUAAAUUUAAUGAAACCAUAUAUUUAGCUAAGAUUUUUAAAACAUUACUAUCUUAUAGAAUUAUAUUAUAUUUUAUAUCUACCCAUCUUAGGAUUCGAAGUCUUGUAAUUGUUGCAUUGUUUUACCUAUCAUUUGGUUCUCUUUUUGAUCAUUUAGGAGAAUUUAGAAUUCAUUUAGGUGCAUAGCAUUUUCAUUUGUGUUUAUUAAGUGUUAGAGAUACUUAUUGGAUUUGACGCAUGAAAUGAAGAAAAAGAGGUGAUUCUGAUCAAGAGACAGAGUGAAAGCAAGAGUCACAGCGGCCGUGAGCAGCGAUAUAGGUAUGCCGCUACGAGUCUUUUGUUACGAUAACUUGAAGACGCUGAGAUAAGAUCAUAAAUCACUGGGUAAGUUGUUGGUUCUUACAGCGGUCUAUUGCAAGCGCAGUGAACAAACCUCAACUUUCACUACUACCAUGUAGCGGUAUAGUAUAGCCGCUAUAGCUCUUAGAGACCAAAAACCAAAACUUGUCAAACACAUGUAGCGGUCCAAGAUAGAGGCAUGUGAAAGCCGCUAGAACAAAAUGUAAUGCACCAGCCAAAUGGUGGGAUGAGACAGCGGUGUAGCGUAACUUCUGUGAAGAAGAUGUCGAUUAUAAUCCCUGCCAACACUUACAUCGGUCUUCAGAAAAGGCUGCGACCUUGUUUCUGAACCGUUGUAGGUGCACAACGGUCUGCAGCGGUUUACUUUUGCCACUGUGAACCUCCUAGGAGUCAAUAUUCAUCGUCUAACCAGAUUUUAACCCAUUUUAUUUAGAGUCGUCCAUGUUUGUUGGGUCUACCCAACUCGCAUUUAGAGACCGCAUGUAACACCCCCAAACCGUUCUAGGCAUAAGUCGAACCACCGGCCAACAAUCAAACAAGAACAUGACCGACGGGCCGACCGUCUACCAAGGAUCGGGAGCGCUACAUGACGGGUUAACGGUCGAUCCGGCCAAAGUCACGAAAAGUGCAAUUUACGACUAGGACAGUCCGCCCGCUAACACGUCCCGUCAGACCAAAGCUUAAGGCUUCUCAACCCGUACCCCAAUCUGACGUUGUGUUAGCUUGGACAAGCUAAUAUCAGAAACAACAAGGCAUUUACACAAAACAUCGCUUUAUUUAUCUUAUAUAAUAUCUGGUUUUCAACACACAAAAUAUUACACAAGUAGUGGAAUGCCAAGCGAGAAAAAGUACAUACUUAUAGUCUGAAUGCGUCUCAAGCAAAAAGAUACAAAUCUACACCAGCCGGCCUAGCCUCCCGCGACCUCUACAAGCUCGCUACUGGUCACCUGAAACAACAACGAGUGAGGAGUGAGUAAUCUAGCAUUACUCAGCGAGUUACAAUCCCCAACUAACAAAUACAACCCCUCACUAUCCCACCCCAAGCAAUCUAAAGCGAGAGGUUCACCUAACAACAAAUCAACCCAAUUCAACGAAUAACAAUAAGCAAUAUCAGAAAUACGCAGCUGGAAAAAGAUAGUAAGAUAACUAGCAUAUGCUAGCUCACCACCAACUCAACCUUGAAAUAAAUUACGGUUUAUCAACCCAAAACACGAUUUAAUAUAUAUAACUAACUCGGGCCCUGGUGACAUUAUGUUCCUCCUUUACUAUCGGCAAUAUCCUAUCUUCCUACCACAAAGGCCAGAAGUAGGAACUUUCAACCGACCGCGGCCCACAGUCCUUCGGGUCACCGCGCGACAGCCCACAGUCCUUCGGGUCACUGUCACAUUACACCGUCGUGUAAUACUCAGCCAUAGGACAUGACCCCGUUCGUCUGAGUCUUCCCGAUCCAGCGAAUAAGGGGUUUCCUUGAACCCGCCGGGUACGAGGUCUGAAGGAACACUAACUCACCCCAAUAUGCCUAGCAUUGUGGAUUACACAAAUGCUGUCGGCCAAUAUACGAUUAAUACUAAACCCGGUAAAAAUAACACAAGGUUCCUAGUAUUAAUCACCACACAAUCAACACAUUCCACCUCAAACAUGCCUAGCAUUGUGGGUUACACAAAUGCUAUAUGGCUAAAAUAUGAUUAAUACUAAACUCGGUAAAAAUAACACAAGGUUCCUAGUAUUUAAUCGUAAAUUAACACAAUCAAUCAUAAUCCAGAAUCUAGCAUAAAGACUAAUUCCAGAAUACCUAACUAUCCAGAACUUUGCGAUAUCAUCUAAGUAUUCCGCAUUCGCUAACUAACCAAUCAACCUAACCAUUAGCAUGCUACUACGGUUCUCAAACAAUAACAAGCAUGCCAUCAACUCAAUCAACAUAACCUCAAUUAUUCAAACCGUUACUCAGUUAGACCCGGCCAUCUGCCAUGAUCCAACUUCCAAGUAACGGGACCCUGCAUAAAAACAACUCAGCAAUCAAUCGAUUAUAACUCACAGUUUUUGGUUGACCGUUGGCUUGACCCCAAACCCGACUUUUGCGAUCUGAACCCUUUCUCGACCUUCUCAAGUAGACCCACGUCCAGACUGGUCUUGAACUGGUCUCCACUAGAACUUAUCUCCCUUCACUUGAAAAGAACCUUCUCCAGGUGCUGACUAAAAAUCGGCAGAAUAACAGUUCUCGAAAACUGCCUAAAUCGCUCGAAAACUAUCGAAACUCGAUCUUUCUUUCUUUGCUUUCUCUCUCACGUUUUGAACUGACUUUCAAGUGUUCUGAAUGUGUUCAAAUGAGAGGGGGUCGUGGGCUAUUUAUAGGAAACAUCAACCAAUCAGGAACAAGCCGUGUGGCAGCCCGUGUGUCGUUUCACAUGGCUCUGGACGCAUGCGCGGCGACACCUCGUGCUCCACAUGGCUGGCUGCAUGUCUCAGUCUCAUGCAGGAUGACACCACGCACUCUAGCUGUCUGGAUGCAUGGCCUGGAUCCAUGCAAGGAGACACCACUUCCUCCACAUGUCUGGCCGCAUGGCCCGGUCGCAUGUAUCGCUACACCUCGUGCUUGGCUGAUCCACCUCGUGCUUCUAUGUGUCACUCCGCAUGCUGUGAUCAUUUUUACUGCAAAACCUCAUGCUUCUCUUGCCACAUACCAUGCCAGGCAGUUGUCACCACGUCCUGAUCUCAUAGAUCGAGCCACCUCGAGCUUCUCGGUCCAUUCGUCCAAUUUUGGCCUUUCCGGUGAAUUUUUUGUCCCGCGAUCAAUCCCAAUAUUUUUCGACGCCCGUUCUGAUGAUCUGAUUAUUUUUAUGUCUACACUCAUCGACCACUAUUCAGUUUUCACACUUUCCAGUUUCAAUGUUUUAGAUUUGCUUGACAACCUUCUUCGCAUUCAAUAUAACAUUCUACUUUUAAUAAGAAACGCAACUUCAAAUAAUCACCACUUCCACUCCAAUAGCACUUCCACUCCAAUAGCAUGUUGAAAGACUAUGAUUUCAACAUAUAGAGUAAUUACUCUUAUAACAUACACAAAAAAUUUUUACCCACAACCCAAUCCUUGUGAAUCUAAAAUAUUACAAACCACAGAUAACGCACCGAAUAUGGUAUCAAUUUUUUGUAAAAUGAAACAACAUGAAGACCAUUUGACGCUCUCACAGCAUAUAAUGUAUAAUGCCACAUCGCUUUAAUAUAGAAACAAAUAUUGUUCUUUUUGUUUGCCAAACAACUAUUGUAAACAAGCAAAACAUAUCUUACCAUAUAUAAUUCUUCCUCACUUGAAAUUUUCUAAAAGACAAAAAUUAUUAUCAUACACAUCUUUUACAAAUGCAAACCUAAAACACAAACCAUAAGUAAACUAUAUGCUGUGAGAGCGUCAAAUGACACUUUAUAGAAAGCCUUCCUGAUUGUGCAUGAUAUUUUCUUGAACUCGAGUUAUAUGCAUAUUUAGAAAACAUUACCGAAUAAGUAAACUAGUUCUUAUUGAUUAAGAAAUAUUGAUAAAUAUGUAUAAUAUCUUCGUAAAAUUAAGAAAACUUUCAUAAAUAUGUAUUUAAAAAUAUAUUCUUAAAUAUAUUUAGGAAAUCUUCAUGAAUAUAUAUUUAUGAAUCACUUAGUGAAUUUGAACUAUAUAUAUAUUUAGUAAAACAUUCUUAAAUAUGUAUAACAUUUUCCUAAAGUUUUAAAAAGACCUUUCUGAAUUUGAUAUCUAAAUUUUAUAAUGAUAUUAUACGUGUGUAAAGAUGCAUGUAAGUCAAAUUCAAGAAGAAGUCAUACACAUUUAAGAAGACCUUCUUAAAUAUACAUACAAAUUAUGAAUGUAUAUUUAUGAAUAAGUUAUUGAAUUUGAAUUAUAUGUAUAUUUAGUAAGAUAUUCUUCAAUAUGUGUACCACUUCCUAAAUUCAUAGAAAUACUUAAUUUGAUAUCCAAAUUUUAUAAAGAUUUUAUACAUAUUUAAAUAUGCAUAUAAGUCAAAUUUGAAAAAAUGUCAUACAAACUUAGGAAAAAAUUUCUAAAUAUACAUACAAGUUACAUUCAAAAAGUACACAUACACGAUUAUGAAGGCAUCUUAAAUUCGAGAAUUGUAUUUUACAAAUACGGAAAGAUAUGAUACAUAUUUUUGAAGGUAUUCUAAACAUUUAAAAACGGUUCCUAAUUUUUGUGGAAAUUUUCUUUUUGAAAAAGAAUUUGAGAAACAAAUUUCGAAAACGUAUUUUUCUGAAAAAAAUUAAUUUUAAAUUUUAUUAAUAUUUUAAUUAUUAAUAUUUAUUUAUUUUUUAUAUUUAAUAAAUAAUUGGGUAAAAUUAUAAUGAGUGUGUAUAAUUACCAUUUACCCUUUUAAUGGAAUUUAAUUUGGUCAUUUUGAUCUUUUUAAGGCUAUUUAAGAAACAAAAACUUAAAAAGACUUUUUAAGAGAUUUGGCUAAAUUAUUUAGUUUGAAGGUAUUUUUACAAACGGUUGAUCAAAAAAAAAAAAAAAGGGUAUUUUUACAAACUUUCUUUAUUAUAUUUUUCUCUCAAUAUCCGCCGAGUAUGUUAUCGACCGAAUGGACCAAAGCCUGUUUGAAAAAGUUCCGGAUAACUAAAUGGGUCCCUUAUGGGCUAAUGUUACUAAGGCAAAAAGCUUUGCUAAUUGCAAUUGAUCCUUCUAAUUUCAAUUUUCUCAGUAGUCAGAAACAAGUCAAACAAUUGUUCUGGAAGUACCUCGUUUGCACUCUUUUCCUUUCGAUCUCAGCGAGUUGGGAGAGAACAUGGAGACGAAGAAAGAAGAAGUGACUCCUCUCAAAGGAUGUCUGAAAACCAGACAAGACAUGAAGAGAAUCGAGGAAACAGAGGACUGCUUCAUCCUCGAUUUCAAUCCUUUUGAUUCUUUUGACGUUAAGAAUCUCUCUUUUGCCGGUGAUCAUGAGGGUGACAAAGAUCUGGCUAUCAUCCAUGAGUCAGGCCAGGUUUGAGUUUUGAAACUUAGGGUUUAAUUAUAGGGUUUCUAUACUUCGUAGUUUUUUUUUUUUUGGAAAAUUUGAUAGAAUCUCUUUGAACAGGUAGCUUGUAGAAAUUUCCCACAUCCAAGACACCUUUGCUUGAAUUUUCCCUUUGGAUCAACUCCUAAUGCAACCCAUUGUCAUCUGGUAUAUACUUUAGUCUCAUUUUAAGUAAAGGGUUUCAAGUAAAAAGAAGUAUGGAAUGGAUUAUAUUGGUUCAAGACUCCUAUGAAACUGCCUUUUAUAUUAACAACAGAGGUCAACAUGAAUAUAUGCAGUGUUACUGUUGCAUCUGCGAUAAGCCUGCUCCUUGUGCACAGUGGAUGUCUUCGCAUUGCAGUGCUUCAGCAGACUCUGUGGAGUGGAGAACUAGGGAUUGAUAGAUGCGUAACUAUUUACAUCUUUUGUUAUUAGAUUAUCUUUUGUUCACAGUCUCCUUUGCAUUUAGACCUUUGAAUUGAUUAGUAGAUCAACAACAUAGCUUUUGAAGACUUAUGUAAUCACAAUGCCUAAUUACUUAAUAUGAGAUUUGUUAUGUGUGUGCGUGUGCUCUUGUUGGAAAUGCAUUUGCUUAGCUAAAUUAUUGUUUGCUGAGGGGUUCCAGUACGUACCUCGAUAAAACGGGGCAUAUUUACAGUGUCAUGAGUCGAUUUCAACGUUCAGAAAGCAUAAAACACAUUAUUGAUCCCAAGCCGGGACGGCCUGCAAGUCAUGUUGUUUGAAUAAUUAACUUGGGGAAAGAAUGAUAUCUAUAUAUUAACCACAUGAGUUUUAUAGACUGAAACGAAUGUAAUGUUUAAUCAUGUCAUGCCCAAAUCUGGACCUAGUCCCAAGUCCCAACUUGCAAGCUUCAAUAUACCUUAGGCUUUUUGCCACAUCAGUCUCGCGGCGACACCUCGUGCUCCACAUGGCUGGCUGCAUGUCUCAGUCUCAUGCAGGAUGACACCACGCACUCUAGCUGUCUGGAUGCAUGGCCUGGAUCCAUGCAAGGAGACACCACUUCCUCCACAUGUCUGGCCGCAUGGCCCGGUCGCAUGUAUCGCUACACCUCGUGCUUGGCUGAUCCACCUCGUGCUUCUAUGUGUCACUCCGCAUGCUGUGAUCAUUUUUACUGCAAAACCUCAUGCUUCUCUUGCCACAUACCAUGCCAGGCAGUUGUCACCACGUCCUGAUCUCAUAGAUCGAGCCACCUCGAGCUUCUCGGUCCAUUCGUCCAAUUUGGCCUUUCCGGUGAAUUUUUCAUCCCGCGAUCAAUCCCAAUAUUUUUCGACGCCCGUUCUGAUGAUCUGAUUAUUUUUAGUAAACUCCAAAUGAAUCCUGACUUGAUGGAAAAUAUUUCCCGAGUUUUCGGCUUCUUCGAAAAAUUCCAUAAUACCGAAAUUAGGGUUUUUCGCCCAAUUUCCGAUCUUCCUGUUGUGCUUCCAAAAGUGUCGUGCUUCCAAAAGUGUCGUGCUUCCAGAAGUGCUUCAAACGUCAUUUGAGUAAAUAUACCACAUUGUCUCACCAUUGUCUAGUGGGAUACUUGACUCAUGGUUCAGACAAAAACAAUCUGAUCGUCCGCGACUCGACCACCUAAAAGAUACUCGACCAUUCUUUUUUUUUUAAUGGGUUUCUACACCGCAUAUAUGUGUUUUAUGCAGAAAAAUCUAAUAUGUCUCGUCUUCUCUCUAAACACAUGUUUAUUUGGUGAAAGACUCAAUCUUUAGCAUCUUUAAUCUAUUUUCAUCUUUGAAUUUGUGUUUGUUAUGUUUAUUUACCUAUCUAGUAUGAUUAGUCUUAAAUUUUACAUGGGUUUAAGGGUUUUCAUUAAUAGACUCAUCUUGAAUCCAUGGUUAGAUAGGUUUAGGGUGAUUAGUGAAAAGUUAAAGUAUUUAUUGUUAAAUAUACUUGUUUCUAUGCUUGAUAAGGAUUAUUAAUGCUAAAUUAUAUUUGAAUCCUUAGGCAGUUUCGGAAAAAACCCGUAUGUGAUAGCGUGAUCUUGAGAGAUUCUUGAUCCCAAAUUCAUGUUACAAUGACUAACGAGACCCAUCUUAUGGCAUAUGACCUUAAUGGCACGUAGCCUUGUUGGCACAUAGCCGCGUGAUCACCUGAUCUAAGUGGUACAUGGCCGGAUCAGGUGAGGAUAUCGUCGAUAUACUUCACUGAGCAUGUUUUUUUUCCUGAUUCUUAGGAGAAUAUCGUUGCAUGAGUCGGGAUAUAAACAGCAUGAUGCUACAAUGGGCAUGGAUUUUCGUCUAACAGAUGAUAAUCACUUAGAUCUGUAAGCAAUGUUGAGGGAAGAUUGUUGUUCUGCUUUGAGGCAGGAAUCCCUAGUUAUGAGGCCGGAGUAUAAUAUUGUAAUAGAAAUGCCCCAUUGAUUGGUGAAGUAUGGCUUUGAUUGCUUCUCAAUCUUUUUAAUUUUGCUUUUUUUUGUAGGAUUGUGCCGUUAGAGCCGAUUUAAAAAUUGAAUCAUCGAUUCUUGCUUCGGGUCCACUUUCCUUUUAUUGGUGGCUUCUCCGAGAAGAGAGCACAACUCUUUCUCUUAUCCUUUAUAUCUUGGUUUCCUUUCAUUUUCUACGAAUUCUUUUUGUUUUCUUUUCCUUAAAUUGCGAUUGUCUCUUUGCGAUCUCGCUUUCUUCAGGUUUUCAACUUCAGUCCUCCAUAAAUUCCUCUUUUCGCUCAGAAAACCAAGGUAAUCCUUAUGUUCUCUUAGUUGUAGAAUUCUAGGGUUUAGUCGAAUCUUUCGUUUUUAUUUUCCUUAGAUUGUUCACUUUUGUUUCUAUUACGCAGAUCAGAAAUGGAAGGUAACCCUAGCCAUAUUAUGUAUCCUUCCUUGUCCAUAGGUAGUAUGGUGAUGUAGAUAGAUAUUUAGAAAUAUUCUAAAUAUCUUAUUAAUUGUUUUUACUAAUUAUUUUAGAUAAUUAUCUUUAUUAUUUUAGGAUUUUCUAGUUUUAUUAUAUAUAUUCUUAAAUAUAUUUAAGAAAUCUUCAUGAAUAUAUAUUUAUGAAUCACUUAGUGAAUUUGAACUAUAUAUAUAUUUAGUAAAACAUUCUUAAAUAUGUAUAACAUUUUCCUCAAGUUUUAAAAAGACCUUUCUGAAUUUGAUAUCUAAAUUUUAUAAUGAUAUUAUACGUGUGUAAAGAUGCAUUUAAGUCAAAUUCAAGAAGAAGUCAUACACAUUUAAGAAGACCUUCUUAAAUAUACAUACAAAUUAUGAAUGUAUAUUUAUGAAUAAGUUAUUGAAUUUGAAUUAUAUGUAUAUUUAGUAAGAUAUUCUUCAAUAUGUGUACCACUUCCUAAAUUCAUUGAAAUACUUAAUUUGAUAUCCAAAUUUUAUAAAGAUUUUAUACAUAUUUAAAUAUAUAUGCAUAUAAGUCAAAUUUGAAAAAAUGUCAUACAAACUUAGGAAAAAAUUUCUAAAUAUACGUACAAGUUACAUUCAAAAAGUACAUAUACAUGAUUAUGAAGGCAUCUUAAAUUCGAGAAUUGUAUUUUACAAAUACGAAAAUAUACGAUACAUAUUUUUGAAGGUAUUCUAAACAUUUAAAAAACGGUUCCUAAUUUUUGUGGAAAUUUUAAGUUACAAAAAAAAAAAAUUGUGGAAAUUUUCUUUUUGAAAAAGAAUUUGAGAAGCAUAUUUUGAAGACGUAUUUUUUCUGAAAAAAAUUAAUUUUAAAUUUUAUUAAUAUAUUAAUUAUUAAUAUUUAUUUAUUUUUUAUAUUUAAUAAAUAAUUGGGUAAAAUUAUAAUGAGUGUGUAUAAUUACCAUUUACCCUUUUAAUGGAAUUUAAUUUGGUCAUUUUGAUCUUUUUAAGGCUAUUUAAGAAACAAAAACUUAAAAAGACUUUUUAAGAGAUUUGGCUAAAUUAUUUAGUUUGAAGGUAUUUUUACAAACGGUUGAUCAAAAAAAAAAAAAAAGGGUAUUUUUACAAACUUUCUUUAUUAUAUUUUUCUCUCAAUAUCCGCCGAGUAUGUUAUCGACCGAAUGGACCAAAGCCUGUUUGAAAAAGUUCCGGAUAACUAAAUGGGUCCCUUAUGGGCUAAUGUUACUAAGGCAAAAAGCUUUGCUAAUUGCAAUUGAUCCUUCUAAUUUCAAUUUUCUCAGUAGUCAGAAACAAGUCAAACAAUUGUUCUGGAAGUACCUCGUUUGCACUCUUUUCCUUUCGAUCUCAGCGAGUUGGGAGAGAACAUGGAGACGAAGAAAGAAGAAGUGACUCCUCUCAAAGGAUGUCUGAAAACCAGACAAGACAUGAAGAGAAUCGAGGAAACAGAGGACUGCUUCAUCCUCGAUUUCAAUCCUUUUGAUUCUUUUGACGUUAAGAAUCUCUCUUUUGCCGGUGAUCAUGAGGGUGACAAAGAUCUGGCUAUCAUCCAUGAGUCAGGCCAGGUUUGAGUUUUGAAACUUAGGGUUUAAUUAUAGGGUUUCUAUACUUCGUAGUUUUUUUUUUUUUGGAAAAUUUGAUAGAAUCUCUUUGAACAGGUAGCUUGUAGAAAUUUCCCACAUCCAAGACACCUUUGCUUGAAUUUUCCCUUUGGAUCAACUCCUAAUGCAACCCAUUGUCAUCUGGUAUAUACUUUAGUCUCAUUUUAAGUAAAGGGUUUCAAGUAAAAAGAAGUAUGGAAUGGAUUAUAUUGGUUCAAGACUCCUAUGAAACUGCCUUUUAUAUUAACAACAGAGGUCAACAUGAAUAUAUGCAGUGUUACUGUUGCAUCUGCGAUAAGCCUGCUCCUUGUGCACAGUGGAUGUCUUCGCAUUGCAGUGCUUCAGCAGACUCUGUGGAGUGGAGAACUAGGGAUUGAUAGAUGCGUAACUAUUUACAUCUUUUGUUAUUAGAUUAUCUUUUGUUCACAGUCUCCUUUGCAUUUAGACCUUUGAAUUGAUUAGUAGAUCAACAACAUAGCUUUUGAAGACUUAUGUAAUCACAAUGCCUAAUUACUUAAUAUGAGAUUUGUUAUGUGUGUGCGUGUGCUCUUGUUGGAAAUGCAUUUGCUUAGCUAAAUUAUUGUUUGCUGAGGGGUUCCAGUACGUACCUCGAUAAAACGGGGCAUAUUUACAGUGUCAUGAGUCGAUUUCAACGUUCAGAAAGCAUAAAACACAUUAUUGAUCCCAAGCCGGGACGGCCUGCAAGUCAUGUUGUUUGAAUAAUUAACUUGGGGAAAGAAUGAUAUCUAUAUAUUAACCACAUGAGUUUUAUAGACUGAAACGAAUGUAAUGUUUAAUCAUGUCAUGCCCAAAUCUGGACCUAGUCCCAAGUCCCAACUUGCAAGCUUCAAUAUACCUUAGGCUUUUUGCCACAUCAGUCUCAAAUCACAUAUAUAGAGGAUUGUUUUAUAUUAUUCUUAUAAAUAAAAACACAAGUACAAUUUAUUGAUAAACAGCUCGCACGGCAACCAUGAUUAAGCAUCAUAGUUUAAGACUUUAAAUCGAAAAAGAUCACAUGAGUACAACAAUUAAGCUGGUGAAGUAGACGUAAAAGAGAGAGCAUGCAUGUUUAUUUAUAAAGCACCACUAAGAAAGCUUUUUCUCAGAUCUUCUUGAGCAGCUCAAUAACGUAAACACCAAAAACGUUGCAAACAACUUUGAUGCCUUCGAAGCCUGAUCCUUUGGCUAAUGCCUCAUACUCUUUCUCGGUCCGUUCUUUGCCUCCAGGAUUGAGAGCCAACAUAAUGCAAUCGACAUUGACUACUUGUUUGGUCGACAGGCUCGAGUCUAGUGUCUCUGGAAGUAUACACUCUGCCAAGAUCACUUUUCCAUUCUCUGGAAGCGCCUCGUAACAAUUCUUUAAGAAUUUUAAACAGUGUUCGUCACUCCAGUCAUGGCAUAUCCACUGUUACAACAAUGAGAAGAAUCCAAAGAGAGUUAUUUGAUCAUCAUUUCAUAUAAUGCCAAGAGUUUUCAGUAUAUGUAGUUAGUAUUAUUUCGGAUCCGAACCUUCAUGAAAAUAGCAUCUCCUUUGGGAACACUUACAAACAUAUCUCCUCCAACAUGCUCAACACCUACAAAAUUUGUUUAGAAUCCAAUCUUCAUCAAAUUUAAACACAAAAACCAGGAUUUUGCAACAUGCCGAGAAUAUGUUAAUAUUAAAAAAAAGAAGUUAAUAUUACCGGGAUGAGAAGGAGCAUCUUCGAUGACAUGAGGGAGAUCAAAGUUGAUGCCUUUAAGAUUAGGGUACUUAGAGACAAUCAUUUUGAGAGUAGCACCAAUGCCACCCCCGACAUCAACCAAGGAGACCAAACCCUCAAAACCAUUAUAGGUCUCAAGAAUCUUCUUCAUGGUGAUGGUGGAAUGGUUAGACAUUCCAUUGUUGAAAACCUUGUUGAAUCUAAGGUCAGUCCCAUGGUACUCAAACGCGCUCAUGCCAUAAGCUUUAUUGAAUGGAAUCCCACCAUCAAGAAUUGCAUCCUUCAAAUAGUACCUGCAACAAAACUCUUUGGCAUGAGUUUAACAAAACAAACAAACAAUCUCUCCUUUAGCUUAACUAACCCAUCAGCAUUUUUCUUAAAAGAUCAAUUAAGUCUUUAUCACUAAUUAUAAAUCUGUUCUGAAAUUGUAUGACACAAUUUGUAUUUAUAUUAUAACUUAUUGAAAACUAUCAAAUAUAUAUUAUAUUGUUGAGACAUAGUGUUUUCUAAUCCCCUAUAUACAGUAGAAUCUCUAUAAAUUAAUACUCGAUAAAUUAAUAAUCUCUAUAAAUUAAUAAAUUUUCUCGGUCUCAACUUGAGUCUAUUCAAAAUUUGACACAAAUCGAUAAAAUAAUAAGAUAAUAAUUUUUUUUAGAAAAAUUUAUGCAAAUAUAUGAUCCCAUUAAAAUCAUAAAAUAAUAAUUUAUAUGUAUGCAUAUUAUAUAUAAAUAAGUACAUAUUAUUAUAAUGUUUUUUAUAAUCACAAUGGAAUUAUCUUUAUAUUUUCUUAACACUUAAUAUUUUUGAUGAGAUUUAGUAAUAUUAUAUUUAAAACCACAUUUAAGUUCUAUGAAAUAUAUAUUAUAUAUACACCAAAUAAUAUAAUAUAAUUAAUAUAAAUGUCAAUUUCAGAAAAUGACGAUUAAUGUCUAUACACUAAAAUCAAAUAUUUUUCUUAUCUUAGAAUAAAUAUAUCUUAAAAUAAGAAAUCUAAAUAAUGAAAUUUUUUAAUAAAUUAAUAUCUCUAUAAAUUAAUAAAAUUUCAAAGUCCCAAUAUUAUUAUAUACACCAAAUAAUAUAAUAAAAUUAAUAAAAAUGUCAAAUUUCAGAAAAUAACGAUUAAUAUCUAUGCACUAAAAUCAAAUAUUUUUGUUAUCUUAGAAUAAAUAUAUCUUAAAAUACGAAAUUUAAAUAAUGAAACUUUUGUAAAUUAAUAUCUCUAUAAAUUAAUAAAAUUUCAAAAGUCCCAACAUUAUUAAUUAUAGUGGUUCUACUGUAUAUGAUUUGAGGAUCAUUUAAAAAGAUGUAACCUGUUAUAAAUUAUGGAGUGGAUUGCCAUUAACCAACACAAGAGGAGAAAGCCCGUCGGCCACAUCAAGCCCAACCGUGGCCGCAAGGAGGAGAGAGAGUCGGCCACAGCCUUAGCUGACUUAGGAUAUAAAUAGUUUCAUUUUCCUAUGUUUUAGUAGUUUUCCUAUUUCCUCUUUGGAUAAGGAUAUGUACACUUUCCUUUUAUCUUUAUCUUGUAAUCCUUAUGUAAACGAACCCCCUUGAUCAUUAAUAAGAACACAGAAGAAUUCAGUCUCUAAACUCUCUAUUUACAACACGUUAUCAGCACGGUAGACUCCAAAACCCUGAGACAAAACCUAACCUAAAAUUCAUCACACAUAAACCCUAAAUCAGGCGCAACUUAAAAUCGAUCUAUCUCUCUAACCCUGAGGAACCAGACAACAAGCCACAUAUCAAUUUGAAGCUCUGGACGAGACAAAUCCAUCAGCGCAAACCGUUCGUCGAUCCGAUCUCAGACGCGCCCUCACUCGCAGAAACAAUACGCGGCGCCGUCUUGGUCUUUUGGAACCCUAAUCCCGAAAAAUCCUAAAUUGUUCUUGCUUGCGUUCCGGCUUGCAAACUCCGAUCAAGCUCAACUCCGAUCAAGCUCAGCUCCAGACGUUCCCUGUCCGUGAUCAACGUCCUCAGCCUCAGCACAGCUUGCGUCCAGCUCAGACCAAAUCCCCGACCAAACACAACCGUCUGCGAGAAGAUACAAGCUCGCGAUAGCCCUCGGCAACGCGACCCGAUAGGAGCCGUCUCACGCCCGUUCGUCUUAGCUCGUCUCUGAUCUUUGGAGGUCCGGUUUCUACAAUCUGCAAAACAAGGGUAAUCCUAAAUUCUAAGAACAUGAAUCGAACCUGGUUGUUUUGUAAAGAUUGAAACCCUAAAAUCAGAACUCUAAAGAUGAAAGCCAUAUGAAAAAUAGAUCAAAUCCUAAAGAGUAAAUCGGAGCUCGAAUAAGUCUGAUCUCCUAAACCAUAAUUCGAGAUUGAUCCAUUGAUCAAUUAAAAUCAAAGUCUUAAUGAUUUUAAAUCUCAAAUCAAAUUCCCUUGAUCAAAGAUCAAAGUUUCGAAAACCCUAAAACCCUAAAUUGGAAAAUCGGUUUUAAUUGUUUGAUUUGAAACUUGAUUGUUUUACUUGAUCACCUAGAAAGAUUGCUAGGAUUGUUUAAACUCGAAUCUGAAUUGCUUGACUUGUUUAAACUAAAAAACUUGAUAAGCCCUUGAUUAUAUCAUCUCGUGGCCGUGUGGCCUUAUUGCCUUCAUACUCGAACUUGAUCACUACUGAUUGAUUGCAAUUGAACUUAGAUCUAAUUCCAGGGAUGAUGAAUUGAACUAAAAUAGCCGUGUGGCUCAUCUUGGCCGUAAGGCAUUGCUUGAAUGUUUAAAUGUUUAAAAACACUUAAUCUUGAUUUAUAUUCCUAAAGGCUUUGAAACCUUAAUCUUAAAAUCGAAUCCUACUAAUGUUUAAACCGAAACCCUAGAAUUGAUUAAGAUUAUUUGCAUACAUAUGAAUCUGAAUAUGGAUUGCAUUCAUACUGUUUAAAAGGAAUCGACCAGCAUCUAGUUUAUAAAAUCUUGAAACCGUUUGCAUUAAGUAGAACUACAUGGCCGUGUGGCUUGAUGAUUGUUUCGCACCAUGGUCGAUUAGAUUGCUUGAUUUUCAUAAAUGCGUAAGACAUGUUUGUGGCCGAGCUUGUUGAUUAUCUUGCGGCCACAUGAUCACAUUGUGAGACUUAAUUUUGAAUGAUGAUGUGAUUCAGAUGUCGAAAAUCUCAAACAGAGACUAUGCAGCCCUUAAUCUCUCCGGAGAUAACUACUUGCAGUGGGCGCUAGAUACAAAGAUCAGUCUAAGGUCAAAGGGACUUGGUGAUACUAUCAUCAAGGGCAACAAUGAGACCGAUAAGAAUCGGUACAUGGCUAUAAGUAUUAUACGCCAUCACCUCAUUGAAGGUCUAAAACAUCAGUACAUCACGAUGGAAAAUCCACUAGAACUUUGGAAUGUUUUACAUCAUAGAUAUGAUCAGCAGAAAACGGUGUUACUUCCAAAGGCUAGAAACGACUGGAAGAAUCUUAGAUUCUUGGAUUAUAAGUCGGUGGAUGAGUACAAUUCAGUCUUAUUUAAGACGGUCUCGAUGCUGAGACUUUGUGGUGAAGUAGUAACCAAAGAAGAGUUACUUGAGAAGACUUACUCUACAUUCCAUUCAUCGAAUGUGAUACUGCAACAGCAGUACAGAAUGAAAGGCUUCGCCACAUAUACUGAUCUGAUCUCGUGCCUGCUUCUGGCCGAAGCAAACAAUGAGCUCCUGAUGAAGAACAGUGAAGCUAGACCUGUUGGAACAGCACCAUUACCGGAAGGUAAUGAGGUUGAAAAGAAAGAACCCAACGAGUGCAAUUACGUCCAAAACAAUAAGAGAUCACACGGCAAUGGCCGUGGUGGUUACAAGGGGCGUGGCAGUGACAAUUACUCGAACAGCCGAGACAACUACUCGACCGGCCGGAAAGGAAACCACAAUAACCAUGGUCGUGGUUCCAAUUAUGGCCGUGGCCGAGUUAGUUAUGGCCCUGGUCGAGGCGGCAUAUCCAAACCGUCUUACUCGACCAAAUCCGUUUGUCACAGAUGUGGAAUGGGAAACCAUUGGGCCAAGAACUGUAGAACCCCUAAGCACUUAUGUGAGCUCUACCAAGAAAGUCUAAGUUAGUAUUAUUUCGGAUCCGAACCUUCAUGAAAAUAGCAUCUCCUUUGGGAACACUUACAAACAUAUCUCCUCCAACAUGCUCAACACCUACAAAAUUUGUUUAGAAUCCAAUCUUCAUCAAAUUUAAACACAAAAACCAGGAUUUUGCAACAUGCCGAGAAUAUGUUAAUAUUAAAAAAAAGAAGUUAAUAUUACCGGGAUGAGAAGGAGCAUCUUCGAUGACAUGAGGGAGAUCAAAGUUGAUGCCUUUAAGAUUAGGGUACUUAGAGACAAUCAUUUUGAGAGUAGCACCAAUGCCACCCCCGACAUCAACCAAGGAGACCAAACCCUCAAAACCAUUAUAGGUCUCAAGAAUCUUCUUCAUGGUGAUGGUGGAAUGGUUAGACAUUCCAUUGUUGAAAACCUUGUUGAAUCUAAGGUCAGUCCCAUGGUACUCAAACGCGCUCAUGCCAUAAGCUUUAUUGAAUGGAAUCCCACCAUCAAGAAUUGCAUCCUUCAAAUAGUACCUGCAACAAAAC